rnacentral:misc_RNA from 1 species
GCACUUUGCGCUUUAAGCGAUGGGUGAUACACCGCUUUGAGUGCGCCUUACGCUUUUAACUACCUUGAACCUGCAUUAGUAUUCAGGUCAUGCACUCCACCAGAGCUUUAUCUCAGUGCUAUAUGGAGAAUUAUUGCGGUCUGUGAAACAAUGACCACAUACAUACUAAACAUGAACAAUAUCCAAAAUUAAUAGCCAGAUACACUCAAAACAUUUGAUAUUUUGCCGGUUUCAGCACUAGAAAAUGGUUAAUUGCAGGUUAAAAAACCAACAUUUCACUUGAUUAAUAACCGAUUUGCACUAGAUGUACUAAUUAAACCAUCAACCAUUAAUAAAAACAUAAAAUUAAACCCGGUUCUUGCAGCUCUACACUAACCACCCUCUUACCCCCAAACCCAAAAGGGUUUAAAAUAAAAGAAAUAAAAGAAUUUAAGAAAAAAAUCAAUUAGCUUCUAGGCAUAUUUAUGAUCUAUCUAUUCAUAGAUAACAAACAACAGAAAACAAGAUAGAGGUCGCGAAGAAACCUAAAUAAACAUCAAACGUGAAAUAGGAACUAUAGCUAUGAGAAAAUCAAUCGAGAGAGAGGAAAAGGGAUCUACCACACAAGAAAACUAAACCCUAAUCAAGGACUGCUAACAAAAACACAAGGCAAUAUGAGAGAGUAGUGAAUUACUAUACCCAACUCUUCCUUUUGUCGGUUUAAAUUCCAGAUUUGCAACUGCUAGGGUUAUUUGGAUUUUGAACUGAACAUGUAAGACCCCAUUUAAAAUCCCGAUUCUUCGAUAGACAGCUGCGAGAGAAAGCGAUUAAUGUGAUUGUGGCUGGCAGUAUUACCAUAUGACAUGAGUGUUAUUAUGGAAGAAAGUUCAAAUUUACCCUUGAACUUUUUGGGAAGUUGAAAUAAGUCCAUUUUUGAUCCCUUUACCAAAUAAACUCAUACUUUUCUAAUUAAGUUUAAACAAGAAACAGGAAGCAGAAUAAUAUCAUCCACUAUAAUAGCAUUACAACAAGCUAACGCAAAACACCAACUACAGAUUGCUUCAUAUCUAGAUAUAUAGAAAUCCCAGGAAGGUAAUACCCAUGCCUUUUCUGAAAUCGAAUGCGACAGGGAGGUCUUACCUUUUUCCAGGAGAAUCCGCCUGCGAAAUAAGUAAACGGUAUUGAUUAGAUCUCUAAGUUCUCAAUCAAACGCAAAAAGCAAUAACCAUUAACAUGGAACAGAGAGCUAAAGAAAGUGAUGGAGAAUCUCACA